CCGGGUGGGAACUGGAGUAAUUGCAAAGAAAGCUGAGCUCCUGUAUAGCAGUCAGCCACUUUUGGAGGCACUGCAGCCUGGCUCACGGUUAAAGGACUGUAUUGACAUCAGAUAUUCAAAAGUGACAAGGCUGUGUAUGCAAACAACCUGACUGAAGACCCUGGUGUUAUACACAGAGGAGGAGGCAGACAGCAAAGAAGCCCCCCACUCCCUCUCAGUCCAGUCCUACAGGGUGCUGCUGCAAGGAUGACACAGGGAUGGCACACUGGAGGGGUGUCUCUGAGCCAGAGCAGCCACUGCGCCAGAUGGAGGGCUGGAAGGAAGCUGCAUGGAGGUAGUCUUGCUACAGCUGAAGAGGAACAGACUGGGCAUCUGUUGGAUAUCCACUAGCUCCCUCCUCAUACACUAUCUAAUAGAUUGUUAUGGUUUAGGAAUGGUACUCCUCGAUUUAUUUCCCUCACUGAGACUCCAAAUCACACUACUGCUGGCUCGCUCCCCCCUUUGCCUUCCUCUUCCUGCUCCAACGGGAUGGAUUUGAGAACUGCAGGCACAAAAGGUGAAAAUAACAGGGUGAGAUAAGAACAAUGUACUGGACAGAGCAACAAAAUAAGAAAACAAACAAUAACAGCAACAAUACUAAUAUCAAAAGGUGUAAAACAAAGAAACAAUUUGCACAGAAAGUUCACAACAAAUACAAACCAGCUCUUUCCCACCAUGCUUUCUUACAAGAGAAAAAGGAUGCCUUUCUCCUUGAAAGUGAGAUAGAGUUCCUUUCCCCCACCCCUGGAAAUGAUGUGAGGUUGCAUUGAAUAACAUUAGGGUCUGGUCAUGCCCCCUUCCUGCUACUGUAAAAAAUUAACCCUGUCCUGGCCAAAGCUAGAACAUCGAUAUCCAUGCGAGAAGGGUUUGCCAACAUAUAUUUCAUUUGCGGUUGGUACCUUGGUCAUGGAUGCCAAAGAUAGGACUGGUAGUUCUUUGUCCAUGGCUAUAAUUCACUUCUGUCCUAAGAAAAAUUCAGACACAUUGCAACCUAGUCAAUUGCAGUGACACACACAUUGUCAUGGAUGCAAAAGAUGUAUCCAUACAUCUUUGUUACAUCAUACCAGUCUUCUUCAUCAGAAGGAAGACUUGUCCUACCUAAGUUUCAGCAGGGCACUGGAUACUGCAAAUCAGCAGCCAGCUAAAGUGACUGGAGUUGAAUGAGGAGCGACAGCACAUUAGUCAUCUACAGAUAACAAUUGACAGUGACUGAAAAGGGUUAAAAAGUGCUGUUUGUCUUGUAACCAUAACAAAACCAAAACAUUGUAAGUAUUCAACUUUUCAGCAAAUUAGUUUUGACCAUCUUGUGCAUGGCUUUCUAAAAAUGGACAGACAAUUGAACUGGAAGGCACUUCCAUAAAGACAGAGCAUUAAAUGAAUGUUUCAGAAAAUCACAUUUGAAAUCCAUCAGCACAAGAGCAUUCUCAUUGAAGAUACAUGACCUCUAGGAAAUGUCUUCUCUAAACUACUGAACAGCAGCAGCUGGUGACCGGAAAGAGCCAAACUGAGCUUGAAGCCUGUGCCUUGUUAAACGGGAUUUGUACUACUCUGGUCUGAGAAAAUGAGUUGAACAUUCAUUUCCAAGGUUACCCUGGGUUAGAGACUGCUGAUGGUUUUCCUAGGCUCCCUGUUGCUUGAAAUGAACACCUCAAGCUCCCUUUAUUGGAAGACAUCCUUCACAAGAAAAGCCAAGGUGAUUGUUACAUCCAUUUACUUCACCCAAUGACUCAAGCUCCUUCCUACAGCCUUUGACAAGACAAAGGUUAGCCCAGUGAAACCUCUGUGUUGAUGACCUGUCCUGUUUAUUGCAGAACAUUAGCAUUCCUAUAAGAAACUGUGAAUCACAGCAGGUGUUCAUCUUCAGAUAAGCCUGACUUUCCCUGUAUGCACACCUCUUUCUCAGAUAUAAAUGUACAACUUCGCAACUAUCCUGGUAAAGUCUUGAUGGUUUUUCUGGGUAUGUUUUGGUGUUUUGUGUUAUUUGGUAUUGUUCUCACUAGUUCAGGUUUCUUUCAAAGACUUCACCACCAUUCAGGGAGGAGUUCCAGGUUAGAAACACCAUGACUAUUGCCUGCUGAUGUUAUGGUUGGGAAUAACUGCUUGGUUUGCUCUUACUUGUCCCUUUUGAAGUUGACAUAUGGAGUCUUCAACCGUCCUUGUGAAAAGCAUCCCUCCCCAUUUUGUAUUGGAAAAUGUACACUUUGGAUGAUGACAUUUGAUGGUGCAUUCUGGCCAUCUGAUACCUAAAAUUUCUCUUUCUGAAGACUGAGCCUCCUUUUUUUUUCCAGCACCAGGAGUUUCUUUCAUCUGUGAUAGCAGAUGGUGAUCGACCCCUGCUUCAACAUCUGGGUACAUGAUUGUUUCAUUUCCAAGCAAAAUGUAGCAAACAUGCUUCUCUGCAGAGGAUGUCUUGCCCUCCCAUCCACUCUCCUUUUCCAUUAGAUCAUCUUAAUUAAAACAUCAAAAGAAAAUUCAGUUACAUAAUUUCUUGUUGAACACAACAGCUCCUCAGUUAGAGGUAACUAAAAUGAAGUGCCAGUGAGAGAGUUGAGUCUUAAAUACAUGCAAUCCCUUUAAAUAUCUCAGAAAAUAUAAGUAAGUGAGCGAUGAUCCCAUUAGCCAAGUCCUUAUGCUCCUUUUCUACUUUCUGAUCUGCAUCUGAUGCAAGAAUUAUGUGGUCUGAUGCAUUUCAGGGCUACUUACCUGUGGUGUACCCUGAAGAUUUUUUUUUACAGUACAUUAUGAUUUGAUUUAUGUUCCAUUACUAAGUACUGAAAGAGUUCUUAAAAAACCUUACGUAUCAUGAUGCCUAAAAAAUGCAAAUUUAUAAAAAAGAUAAAAAGGUGUGAACUACUGGAGACAUUUAUUCAUUUGUGUGCUGGUUUAAGGGUAAACCAGCAGGGGAAAUGAACUCAACUCAAAAGAGAGAUUAUAACAAUUUAAUAAAAUAAUACAAUAAAUAUGAUUAUACAGACAAACAAUUGGUUUUAACCCACAAAACCCAAAUG